GACGAACGCUGGCGGCGUGCCUAACACAUGCAAGUCGAGCGGAGACAUCCAAGUAGCAAUACGAAGAUGUUUUAGCGGCGGACGGGUGAGUAACGCGUGAGUAACCUGUCCCAAACUGGGGGAUAACGAGCCGAAAGGCUCACUAAUACCGCAUAAGACCACGGAGUCACAUGGCUUUGAGGUCAAAGGAGCAAUCCGGUUUGGGGUGGACUCGCGUCUGAUUAGCUAGUUGGUGGGGUAACGGCCUACCAAGGCGACGAUCAGUAGCCGACCUGAGAGGGUGAUCGGCCACAUUGGAACUGAGACACGGUCCAAACUCCUACGGGAGGCAGCAGUGGGGAAUAUUGGGCAAUGGAGGAAACUCUGACCCAGCAACGCCGCGUGAAGGAAGAAAGGUUUUCGGAUCGUAAACUUCUAUCCUUGGUGAAAAUAAAAGAUAGGUAGCCAAGGAAGGAAGCCCCGGCUAACUACGUGACCAGCAGCCGCGGUAAAACGUAGACGUG
rnacentral:rRNA from 1 species